rnacentral:rRNA from 1 species
GAGCGGCGGACGGGUGAGUAACGCGUGGGUAACCUGCCCUGUACACACGGAUAACAUACCGAAAGGUAUGCUAAUACGGGAUAACAUAAGAAAUUCGCAUGUUUUUCUUAUCAAAGCUCCGGCGGUACAGGAUGGACCCGCGUCUGAUUAGCUAGUUGGUGAGGUAACGGCUCACCAAGGCGACGAUCAGUAGCCGACCUGAGAGGGUGAUCGGCCACAUUGGAACUGAGACACGGUCCAAACUCCUACGGGAGGCAGCAGUGGGGAAUAUUGCACAAUGGGCGAAAGCCUGAUGCAGCAACGCCGCGUGAGCGAUGAAGGCCUUCGGGUCGUAAAGCUCUGUCCUCAAGGAAGAUAAUGACGGUACUUGAGGAGGAAGCCCCGGCUAACUACGUGCCAGCAGCCGCGGUAAUACGGAGGAUCCGAGCGUUAUCCGGAUUUAUUGGGUUUAAAGGGUGCGUAGGCGGUUUAGUAAGUCAGCGGUGAAAUUUUGGUGCUUAACACCAAACGUGCAGUUGAUACUGGCGUCCUUGAGUGCGGUUGAGGUGUGCGGAAUUCGUGGUGUAGCGGUGAAAUGCUUAGAUAUCACGAAGAACUCCGAUUGCGAAGGCAGCACACUAAUCCGUAACUGACGUUCAUGCUCGAAAGUGUGGGUAUCAAACAGGAUUAGAUACCCUGGUAGUCCACACGGUAAACGAUGGAUACUCGCUGUUGGCGAUAUACAGUCAGCGGCUUAGCGAAAGCGUUAAGUAUCCCACCUGGGGAGUACGCCGGCAACGGUGAAACUCAAAGGAAUUGACGGGGACCCGCACAAGCGGUGGAGCAUGUGGUUUAAUUCGAAGCAACGCGAAGAACCUUACCAGGUCUUGACAUCCUUCUGACCACUCCGUAAUGGGAGCUUUCCUUCGGGACGGAGAAGACAGGUGGUGCAUGGUUGUCGUCAGCUCGUGUCGUGAGAUGUUGGGUUAAGUCCCGCAACGAGCGCAACCCUUAUUCUAAGUAGCCAGCGGUUCGGCCGGGAACUCUUGGGAGACUGCCAGGGAUAACCUGGAGGAAGGUGGGGAUGACGUCAAAUCAUCAUGCCCCUUAUGAUCUGGGCUACACACGUGCUACAAUGGCGUAAACAAAGAGAAGCAAGACCGCGAGGUGGAGCAAAUCUCAAAAAUAACGUCUCAGUUCGGACUGCAGGCUGCAACUCGCCUGCACGAAGCUGGAAUCGCUAGUAAUCGCGAAUCAGAAUGUCGCGGUGAAUACGUUCCCGGGUCUUGCACACACCGCCCGUCA